GAUGAACGCUGGCGGCGUGCCUAAUACAUGCAAGUCGAGCGAACAGAUAAGGAGCUUGCUCCUUUGACGUUAGCGGCGGACGGGUGAGUAACACGUGGGUAACCUACCUAUAAGACUGGGAUAACUUCGGGAAACCGGAGCUAAUACCGGAUAAUAUUUCGAACCGCAUGGUUCGAUAGUGAAAGAUGGUUUUGCUAUCACUUAUAGAUGGACCCGCGCCGUAUUAGCUAGUUGGUAAGGUAACGGCUUACCAAGGCGACGAUGCGUAGCCGACCUGAGAGGGUGAUCGGCCACACUGGAACUGAGACACGGUCCAGACUCCUACGGGAGGCAGCAGUAGGGAAUCUUCCGCAAUGGGCGAAAGCCUGACGGAGCAACGCCGCGUGAGUGAUGAAGGUCUUCGGAUCGUAAAACUCUGUUAUUAGGGAAGAACAUACGUGUAAGUAACUGUGCACGUCUUGACGGUACCUAAUCAGAAAGCCACGGCUAACUACGUG
rnacentral:rRNA from 1 species